CACGUCUUAUGCCGGAGUCAUGCCGGAGUCUUAGCUUCUGCUAAGAUCGAUUUGUCUCCUCCGAUCAAAAUUGAGCUACAACGCCUCCAAGGAUGGAAUCAGGGCUUCACGAUCUAUCAAAGCCCUAGACCCCCGACCUCCAGCUCCGACUAGAGCCACCGCACGCACCCCACGCGCCACCACAGGCGCGUGGACCACCGUAACUCCGUCGCUCACGGUUGCCGGAAUCGUCAGGACUUCUUGAUUAGUCUGUGAGGAUUAUGGAAUAUGUGUUCUGGAGAUUUUGGAGGAAAUGAGGUCUGCAAAAUAGUAAGCUUUUGGAGAAGAAGAAGUUGCUGGGUCAGUUUCGAUUUGAAUCGGAUAAGGGAAUCUGAAGGAUUAAUGGUGGUAGAAUGCAACUUCAACGAUUUGGCUACUAAAUUUGGAAAAGAAGAAUGGUAAGGGUCUGGGUAUUUUAAUUCUCUAUUUGCAGUGGCUUGUCUGUACCGAUUGAAGUGUGGUCUUGUGGGUAUUACUUGAAGGGAAGUUUGGUAUUUGUUGCUCAAGUGAUAGGUGGUGUUGUUGAGACAAGUCUGGUUUGGUCAGAAGUAUAGAGGAUUGGUCUUGUGAAUUUUAAUGAUAAGUUUGUUUCCAAUAUUGAAAUAUGACAUAGGAAUGAAAGCGGUGAGUUGGUCAAA